GGCCCUAAUCAGCCUCAGUUCGUUGUAAACGAGCGCGAACAGUUAUGGGCCGCUACUCUGGUCGCAUUUUUUCAUCUCUGUGGUAAACUUCGGCCUAAUGGGCCUUUGCUCUCUUCCCAGCCUGUACCAGCAGCCCUUUUCCCCCCAAAAAGAUGCAUUAUCUAGAUCGGGAGAGUCGUGUGCCGCUCCGAUCCCUUCGCCUGGCGGCUCUCUCCAGAUCCGACCGGACUGGGUGACGACCGAUGCCGGGCUAGAGCAAUGGAUCCAUGGCGACCCCGCAGGUUCAGAAAGCGCCUCGCCGGGCAAUGGGGCAGGGGGUCUGCUCGAUCCUUUCGGUUGCACAGCGAGGCAGGAUUGUCUGGCGGCAAUGCAUGCGUCCUUUGAAGUUCUAUUGCCAAUUCGAUGGUGAUUGAUUGAGAGUUAAAUCAGCCAUUACUACCAGUCAAUUCGCGGACUGCUGGUUAUUGUAGGUUAUUUAUCAAGUGAAAAAUGCGAAAAAGAAAUAUACAAGACGUUGAUUCGUCCUCAGCACACUGUGAAUCGAAUCAGAAUAUUGUGGGUAACUCCGACGUCGUUGUUCACCGCCGUCGCACUGGUUUUUGCAUGUGGUGUUCCUCUCCUUGAUGUGCUAGGGACCAUGGUUCUUGUUGCAUCUUACUCACUUAGGCCAGCACGUUUCCUGGUUGACUUCUGGAUCAAUCUGAAACUGGGAUGUUCAGUUUCUUGCCUUUUCUCAUGACAGUAGUUUUUUUGUCAAAUGAGAUCUCACAUUAGUUCCGACUUCCAUCUGAGAGAGAUAGGAUGAUUUUUAAAUUUUAUGAUGUUUCUGAUGUCAAGGUUUUAAUUGCUCCAACUCUAUUUGGCAUACAUCAACCUUCCAGCGGAGAUGUUAUUGUAUUAUUAUUAGAGGGUGUCGAAUUCAAUGGCCAUAUUCUUAUUGUUGUUUC